rnacentral:rRNA from 1 species
GAUGAACGCUGACAGAAUGCUUAACACAUGCAAGUCAACUGUGGCGGACGGGUGAGUAACGCGUAAAGAACUUGCCUCACAGAUAGGGACAACAUUUGGAAACGAAUGCUAAUACCUGAUACUGUGAGAGAGCUUUGCGUCCCAUUAGCUAGUUGGAGAGGUAACGGCUCAGCAAGGCGAUGAUGGGUAGCCGGCCUGAGAGGGUGAUCGGCCACAAGGGGACUGGGGAACGAGCCGUACUCAAACGGGAGGAAGGAGUGGGGAAUAUUGGAAAAUGGACCAAAGUGUGAUCAAGCAAUUCUGUGUGCAAGAUGAAGUUUUCGGAAUGUAAAGUGGUAUCAGAUGGGAAGCGGUACCAACAGAAGAAGUAACGGCUAAAUACGUGCCAGCAGCCGCGGUAAUUC